GCUCUCCGCGCCUCCGCAAGCGGCCAGGCUGCGGGAGGGGUGGGAGGGUGCUCCUGAUCCACCUGGAGCACUUUUGCAAAGACAGACGCGGUUCCUCCUACUUCAGAGCAUGUCUGGGCCAGCUGGGAUCCGACCAGCAACCGCAGCGGAGGAGAGGCAGGCGCGCAGGCUGAGCGCUAACUGAAGGCGCGACCUGAGCCCGGCGCCUGCUGGGGAGCUGCGCAGCCAGGACAGUGGUCCACAGCGCAGGGCCUGGGCACAGGGCCCGCCGUCACCGCCUCACGUUGGGGGCCAGCACUGCCACCUGCCAGCCCUGCCCCCUACCCUCGGACUUCCCAGGGAGCCCAGGGCCCUCCCAACGCGCUUGCACCCACAUCCGUCCCUGACCUACAGUGACCCUGCAUUCCCCGCCCCCUGCCACACCUCCUGCGUGCCCGAGUGUCACCCUUAAAUACCGCUCUACACCUAGAGAGGAACGAAUCCACCUCAGAAGGCAGGGCAAGACUAAUUUCAAUGGGUCAGAAGGUUCUCGCAGGCACUGUUUUAUUUAAGAGUGCCUAUUUACUGGCAGGAGUAUUUGUGUGGGAGGAAGUAGGCUAAGACUGCUGUUGAACUUGAAGCUAAACUUGAAUGCCAUUUAACAUAACAAUAAAAAUAUACUUAAAACACCAA